UACGGAGGGUGCAAGCGUUAUCCGGAUUCACUGGGUUAAAGGGUGCGUAGGCGGAUAGGUAAGUCCGUGGUGAAAUCCUGCAGCUUAACUGCAGAACUGCCGUGGAUACUAUCUAUCUUGAAUAUCGUGGAGGUUAGCGGAAUAUGUCAUGUAGCGGAUGAAAUGCUUAGAUAUGACAUAGAACACCCAUGCGAAGGCAGCUAACUACGCGAUAAUUGACGCUGAUGCACGAAAGCGUGGGGAUCAAACAGG
rnacentral:rRNA from 1 species